rnacentral:rRNA from 1 species
UACGUAGGGGGGCUAGCGUUGUCCGGAUUUAUUGGGCGUAAAGAGCGUGUAGGCGGCCAGAUAGGUCUGCUGUGAAAACUCGAGGCUCAACCUCGAGAUGUCGGCGGAAACCAUUUGGCUAGAGUCCGGAAGAGGAAAGUGGAAUUCCUGGUGUAGCGGUGAAAUGCGCAGAUAUCAGGAAGAACACCCGUGGCGAAGGCGGGUCUCUGGGCCGUAACUGACGCUGAGGAGCGAAAGCAUGGGGAGCGAACAGG